UACGGAGGGGGCGAGCGUUAUUCGGAAUUAUUGGGCGUAAAGGGCGCGUAGGCGGCCCGCUAAGUCAAAGGUGAAAUCCCUCGGCUCAACUGAGGAACUGCCUUUGAGACUGUCGGGCUUGAGGCCGGGAGGGGGUAGCGGAAUUCCCAGUGUAGCGGUGAAAUGCGUAGAGAUCCGGAGGAACCCCAGAGGCGAAGGCGACGCCCUGGCUCGUACCUGACGCUCAGCCACGAAAGCAUGGGGAGCGAACGGG
rnacentral:rRNA from 1 species